UACAGAGGUCUCAAGCGUUGUUCGGAUUCAUUGGGCGUAAAGGGUGCGUAGGCGGCUCGGCAAGUCGGGUGUGAAAUCUCGGAGCUUAACUCCGAAACUGCAUUCGAUACUGCCGUGCUUGAGGACUGGAGAGGAGACUGGAAUUUACGGUGUAGCGGUGAAAUGCGUAGAUAUCGUAAGGAAGACCAGUGGCGAAGGCGGGUCUCUGGACAGUUCCUGACGCUGAGGCACGAAGGUCAGGGGAGCAAACGGG
rnacentral:rRNA from 1 species